rnacentral:lncRNA from 1 species
UGCAAAACAUUGGAGAGUGAUAUUUAUCACAAGGUUUUACUGUUUUUCAAAGCUGAUCUCAAAUCUGCUGAUAAAAGAUCAAUUCCAGUUUAAGAUGCAAUCCGUUUUGCUCUCACACAGCGUUGCUUUUUUUCGAGAGAGAGAGGAAAACUCUUAUAAUGUUAUUUUAACGGUGUACUUCAGUUCACAUCUGCUGCUUUUCUCCCUUCAAUUAGAGAAUGAAUUCAAAUGACACUAAGAAAUUUUAGCGUGAGAGGUAGGAUAAAAUAAAGAAACAAAAAAACAAAAAUAAAAACAACGGAAAAAAACAGAGGGACUAUAACAGGAUACAUCUUUGCCCUCCUCCUACUCGCGAGACAUUCAGACUGAGAGCAAGGUGCUUGCUAUGUUAUCCGCAACAACAUUAACUGAAAUUAUACUCAGUUGCGUGUCUCUAUAAUUAUUCUUUUUUCUAUUUUUAUGUAAAUCAGUUGUGGCCAUGGUGGCCCUCAGGUUUCCUUCUUUUCCCGUCAAAACAAGUUGAUCAGAGUAAAAUGUUUUAAGCCUGAUAUGUGACACACAACACUAAUGACUCUGAUCUUCCAAUAGAUCGAUGUUUUUGCCACAUUUAGCAUUUUUAUCAUCAAGAAAAGACAAUGCCGCCAAAUCAUCGCUCCCCCUGGAGAAUGCAGUUUGUUAUUUCGGGAUUGAAAAGCUAGACAUGAAGGUAAUACUUCAGAUUACCUAUAGGGUCGAAUUGAUGUAAAAAAAUUAAAAUUCCUCGGAAACUGCCCGAAAGAUGUUGACAAAGACUGUCGCUUAACUAUGCGAAAGCACUCGUGGUUAGCCGUUAAAGCUUCACGAAGUCGUCUAAAAUAAACCCCAAGGCUGCACUGGAUGCGACUUUGAGCUGUGAUUUACGAACGAACUGCUACCUCCAACGAGCGUAACGAACUAACGGCGAUAACGAACGAACUUGUUUGGAUCUUUCAAGCACUUUUGUGUUCUACCUCCACCAAGGAUGUACUGAUGCAUAUGAGAAUCAUAAUAACUAAUCAGUGUCCACAGCGUUACGAAAACAUGGAUUGUGAUUACCUAAACACAAUUGUACACAAAAUGUACUGUGCAUGUAAGCUGGGGUAAAUUCACUUUAAUUUGGCUGUAGUUUAGAUUAUAGGCUGCAGAUAAGAUAUGUUUAGGUUUGGUAGAGUUUCAUUCACGAUUUUUAUUUACAUCAGGGAAACCACUAAACAGAGCUAAAUUAAGUUGAGGAUUGCAAUGUUGACUUGCAUGCACAGUGCACUUGUUCCAAAGCCAGAUUAUCAGAGGUUAUUGGUGAGUUCAGUCACCAAAUGAGGGAGAAAUGUCUUUUCUCAACUACAGCAUUUUUUUAAACUUGAUUUCAAGUUAGCUGCGUAUCAGUUGCCUUAUUUCAACAAUUUUAAGGAAGUUUGAAACUAUUUUAAGGAACCAAGAUUCAGUCAAAUUAAUGAAAGAACAACCUGUAGAAAUGAGCAAAAGCUUGAUUAAUUUGCUUGCUUGUGAAGACUCAAUCAGUGGUAACCAAGGGAAAUUAAAACAACGCGGUAGCAGUAAGUAGCUUAAAAUUUUAUAUUUACACAUUGCUUCUGUGUUAAGGAAUGUUGAUUUGGCCAAUUUUCUCCACCAAUUUCAUAGUAAACUGAAAGCAAAACCAAACAAAUCCCUGGUUAAUUUUUUUCUCCAUUUAAUCUAAAAAUUACUUGAUUUACCACAGACAUACUUUGAAUAGAGAAAAAGGUUUACAGUUGGGCAUUGGGUGGUUCUGCAAUUUUUGGUUACACAGAUAUAAAUUAUUACAGUCAAAUUAUUACAAAGAUAAUUCCAUUAAUUACAUUAC